AUUGAACGCUGGCGGCAGGCCUAACACAUGCAAGUCGAGCGGAGCGGCGGACGGGUGAGUGAGGUCUAGGAAUCUGCCUGGUAGUGGGGGACAACGUCCGGAAAUGGGACCUAAUACCGCAUACUAUCAGAUGAGCCUAGGUCGGGUUAGCUAGUGGGUGGGGGAAAGGCCUACGAAGGCGACGAUCCGUAACUGGUCUGAGAGGAUGAUCAGUCACACUGGAACUGAGACACGGUCCAGACUCCUACGGGAGGCAGCAGUGGGGAAUAUUGGACAAUGGGCGAAAGCCUGAUGAAGCCAUGCCGCGUGUGUGAAGAAGGUCUUCGGUUUGUAAAGCACUUUAAGUUGGGAGGCGUUACCAGCAGAAGAAGCACCGGCUAACUUCGUGCCAGCAGCCGCGGUAAUUC
rnacentral:rRNA from 1 species